rnacentral:misc_RNA from 1 species
CAACCCUCAAGCUUUUGCUUGGUAUUGGGUGGCCAGUCCCUUAGGACUCACCCGAAAAGCAGCGGCGAUUCAGCUAGACUUUGAGCGCAUUAAAUAUUUUAUUAUUCGCUUUGAAGCUUCUGGGUGAUAUUUGCCGGACAACCCCACCUAAUUUUUCUAU